CUCUUAGGCAAAUCCGGGAUCACUUACGCCGAGCACCGAGACGAGUCCUAUGAGGACGAAGUGACUGACAUCACGCUUCCAGGAAAAGCCACUAAGCUUCAGCUUAAGAAAAACCGUACCGCAAACCGACACAGGUAGGCAGGGUGAGAAUCCCAAGGCGCUUGAGAGAACUCGGGUGAAGGAACUAGGCAAAAUGGCACCGUAACUUCGGGAGAAGGUGCGCCCUUUGGUGUGGUCACGUGCGUGACUGAGCAUCGAAGGGUCGCAGUAACCUGGCCGCUGCGACUGUUUAUCAAAAACACAGCACUCUGCAAACACGAAAGUGGACGUAUAGGGUGUGACGCCUGCCCGGUGCUGGAAGGUUAAUUGAUGGGGUCAGCCGCAAGGCGAAGCUCUUGAUCGAAGCCCCAGUAAACGGCGGCCGUAACAAUAACGGUCCUAAGGUAGCGAAAUUCCUUGUCGGGUAAGUUCCGACCUGCACGAAUGGCGUAACGACAGCGGCGCUGUCUCCACCCGAGACUCAGUGAAAUUGAAAUCGCUGUGAAGAUGCAGCGUUCCCGCGGCAAGACGGAAAGACCCCGUGAACCUUUACUAUAGCUUUACACUGAACGUUGAGUUCUUCUGUGUAGGAUAGGUGGGAGGCUAUGAAACCAGGACGCUAGUUCUGGUGGAGCCAUCCUUGAAAUACCACCCUGAAGUGCUUGACGUUCUAACCUAGGCCCGUAAUCCGGGUCAGGGACCGUGUAUGGUGGGUAGUUUGACUGGGGCGGUCUCCUCCCAAAGAGUAACGGAGGAGCACGAAGGUACGCUCAGCGCGGUCGGACAUCGCGCACUGUGUGCAAAGGCAUAAGCGUGCUUGACUGCGAGAUCGACGGAUCAAGCAGGUACGAAAGUAGGUCUUAGUGAUCCGGUGGUUCUGUAUGGAAGGGCCAUCGCUCAACGGAUAAAAGGUACUCCGGGGAUAACAGGCUGAUACCGCCCAAGAGUUCAUAUCGACGGCGGUGUUUGGCACCUCGAUGUCGGCUCAUCACAUCCUGGGGCUGUAGCCGGUCCCAAGGGUAUGGCUGUUCGCCAUUUAAAGUGGUACGCGAGCUGGGUUCAGAACGUCGUGAGACAGUUCGGUCCCUAUCUGUCGUGGGCGUUGGAGAUUUGAGGGGGGCUGCUCCUAGUACGAGAGGACCGGAGUGGACGUUCCGCUGGUGUUCGGGUUGUCAUGCCCAUGGCAUUGCCCGGUAGCUACGAACGGAAGUGAUAACCGCUGAAAGCAUCUAAGCGGGAAGCACGCCCCAAGAUGAGAUCUCCCGAGAGCUUGACUCUCCUAAAGGCACCAUCAAGACUAGGUGGUUGAUAGGUCAGGUGUGGAAGCGCAGCAAUGCGUUGAGCUAACUGAUACUAAUGAGCCGUGAGGCUUGACCG
rnacentral:rRNA from 1 species